AUUGAACGCUGGCGGCAGGCCUAACACAUGCAAGUCGAGCGGAUGAAGGGAGCUUGCUCCUGGAUUCAGCGGCGGACGGGUGAGUAAUGCCUAGGAAUCUGCCUGGUAGUGGGGGAUAACGUCCGGAAACGGGCGCUAAUACCGCAUACGUCCUGAGGGAGAAAGUGGGGGAUCUUCGGACCUCACGCUAUCAGAUGAGCCUAGGUCGGAUUAGCUAGUUGGUGGGGUAAAGGCCUACCAAGGCGACGAUCCGUAACUGGUCUGAGAGGAUGAUCAGUCACACUGGAACUGAGACACGGUCCAGACUCCUACGGGAGGCAGCAGUGGGGAAUAUUGGACAAUGGGCGAAAGCCUGCUCCAGCCAUGCCGCGUGUGUGAAGAAGGUCUUCGGAUUGUAAAGCACUUUAAGUUGGGAGGAAGGGCAGUAAGUUAAUACCUUGCUGUUUUGACGUUACCAACAGAAGAAGCACCGGCUAACUUCGUG
rnacentral:rRNA from 1 species